GGAGAGGUGCCGGAGUGGUUGAACGGAGCGGUCUUGAAAACCGCAGUGGGCCUCCGUGCCCACCGUGGGUUCGAAUCCCACCCUCUCCGCCA
rnacentral:tRNA from 2 species